rnacentral:rRNA from 1 species
AUACGUAGGGGGCGAGCGUUGUCCGGAAUUAUUGGGCGUAAAGCGCGCGCAGGCGGUCCUUUAAGUCUGGUGUUUAAGUGCGGGGCUCAACCCCGUGACGCACUGGAAACUGGGGGACUUGAGUGCAGGAGAGGAAAGCGGAAUUCCACGUGUAGCGGUGAAAUGCGUAGAGAUGUGGAGGAACACCAGUGGCGAAGGCGGCUUUCUGGACUGUAACUGACGCUGAGGCGCGAAAGCGUGGGGAGCAAACAGGAUUAGAUACCCUGGUAGUCCACGCCGUAAACGAUGAGUGCUAGGUGUUGGGGGGGUCCACCCCUCGGUGCCGAAGUUAACACAUUAAGCACUCCGCCUGGGGAGUACGGUCGCAAGACUGAA